ACACUGUUGAGGAAUCCCAAAAUAGGACGAAACGGCCGUCCAGUGA
rnacentral:hammerhead_ribozyme from 1 species